GAUGAACGCUGACAGAAUGCUUAACACAUCAGCAAUUGAUUGGUGGCGUCCGGGUGAGUAACGCGUACAGAACUUGCCUCACAGGUAGGGACAACAUUUGGAAAAGAAUGCUAAUCCCUACUACUGUGAGAGAGCUUUUCGUCCCAUUCGCUAGUUGGAGAGGUAACGGCUCACCAAGGCGCUGAUGGGUAGCCGGCCUGACAGGGUGAACGGCAAAAAGGGGACUGGGACACGGCACUUACUCCUACGGGAGGCAACAGUGGGGAAUAUUGGACAAUGGACCAAAGUCGGAUACAGCGAUUCUGUGGGCACGAUGAAGUUUUCGGAAUGUAAAGUGCUUUCAGUUGGGAAGCGGUACCAACAGAAGAAGUGACGGCUAAAUACGUGCCAGCAGCCGCGGUAAUUC
rnacentral:rRNA from 1 species